rnacentral:rRNA from 1 species
GGGGAAUCUUCCGCAAUGGGCGAAAGCCUGACCGAGCGAUGCCGCGUGCGGGAUGAGGGCCUUCGGGUUGUAAACCGCUGUCAGUUGGGAGGAAGGCUUUGUGAAGAGCAAAGCUUGACCUAUCUUCAGAGGAAGUCCGGGCUAAGUUCGUGCCAGCAGCCGCGGUAACACGAACCGGACGAACGUUAUUCGGAAUUAUUGGGCUUAAAGGGUGCGUAGGCGGUUUGGUAGGUGGGGUGUGAAAGCCCUCGGCUCAACCGAGGAAUUGCGCCCCAAACCACCAGGCUAGAGGGAGACAGAAGUAAGCGGAACUGAUGGUGGAGCGGUGAAGUGCGUUGAUAUCAUCAGGGACACCAGUGGCGAAAGCGGCUUACUGGGUCUCUUCUGACGCUGAGGCACGAAAGCUAGGGUAGCGAAAGG